UACGAAGGGGGCUAGCGUUGUUCGGAAUUACUGGGCGUAAAGCGCGCGCAGGCGGUCUUCCAAGUCAGUGGUGAAAGCCCGGAGCUCAACUCCGGAACUGCCAUUGAAACUGUUGGACUUGAGUACGAGAGAGGUGAGUGGAAUUCCCAGUGUAGAGGUGAAAUUCGUAGAUAUUGGGAAGAACACCGGUGGCGAAGGCGGCUCACUGGCUCGUAACUGACGCUCAGGCGCGACAGCGUGGGGAGUCAA
rnacentral:rRNA from 1 species